UCUCCGUAGGUGAACCUGCGGAAGGAUCAUUAUUGUAUAACCGAGGUGCGAGGGCAGUCCCUGACCCUAAUGGUCGUGCACGUGUGAGCGCCCUCACACACCUCCACCUCACCCCCAUGUCCACCACCGCGUGGCUCCUCCUUUCGCCUGCUCGGCGGCGGGCUUACGUUUUCACACAAACUUAGCCUGCAGUGUAGAAUGUAUUUUUUGCUUUUGCGAACACGCAAUCCAUCCAACUUUCAACAACGGAUCUCUUGGCCCUCGCACCGAUGAAGAACG
rnacentral:misc_RNA from 1 species